GUUAAUUAAAUCUAGCAUUCGCCAAGAGAAGCUAGAGUUGACUACUGGAACGAACUAACAAAGGAGAUUUAAAUAAAUAGUGAAAAGGGCUAACUUUUUUUAGGACUGUCUGAAUGAUUGAAAAGAGAUCUGAGUGAGAAUGUGCCUUGUCUUGUCUUUUCUGUAGCCAACCCAACUUUUUAAAGAUUGAUUCUACUACUUACCAUGUUUGCCAUCUCAUGUGCUUCCUCCAAUAUUGGUACUGAGGCUGUCUUAUAUAGUUAAGACCGUAACUUAGAAUUAUUAUCUAUAAAGAAGUUUUGAAAGUUCGUGUCAAAAUCUAAAAUUAAAAUACAUAGAUUACUAUUUGUAAAAUCUAACCAAAAUUUACAAAAUUUAAGAAAUAUCUUAAUUAGUUUAUAUAAUUAUUAAAAAUUAUUUAUAGGAUAAUAUUUGAUGAUUAUUUUUGUCUUUCAGAUAGAUUUAUAUCGAUAUAUUUAUAUCUAGAGAGAAUUACUUAAAAAAAAACUCAUAUCUAUAU
rnacentral:lncRNA from 1 species